CCGCCAGAGAACUACAAGUAAAAAACUUAAAACUCAAAGGACUUGGCGGUGUCCCACACCGAUCUAGAGGAGCCUGUCCUAUAAUCGAUACCCCCCGCUCAACCCAACCUUAACUAGCCCUCCAGCCUAUAUACCGCCGUCGACAGUCUACCCCAUGAGGGUCNAACAGUAGACAUAAUAACCCCGCCCGCUAACACGUCAGGUCAAGGUGUAGCAAAUGUUAAGGAAGAGAUUGGCUACAUUUUUUAUUUUUAAAAAACACGAAAUGCACCAUGAAACACUGCACAAAGGUGAAUUUAGCAGUAAACU
rnacentral:rRNA from 1 species